UACGGAGGGUGCAAACGUUGCUCGGAAUCAUUGGGCGUAAAGCGCACGUAGGCGGUCGGCUAUGUCGGAUGUGAAAGCCUCGGGCUUAACCCGAGAAGGGCAUCCGAAACUGGCCGGCUUGAGUACGGAAGAGGGUCUCGGAAUUCCCGGUGUAGAGGUGAAAUUCGUAGAUAUCUGGAGGAAUACCGGUGGCGAAGGCGGCAUCCUGGACCGGCAUUGACGCUGAGGAGCGAAAGCUAGGGGAGCAAACGGG
rnacentral:rRNA from 1 species